rnacentral:rRNA from 1 species
GAACGCUGGAGGCGUGCCUAACACAUGCAAGUCGAACGAAGAUAAGCAAUUAUCUUAGUGGCGGACGGGUGAGUAAAGUGCGGAUAAUCUACCGUUAAGAGGAGAAUAGCAUGAAGAAAUUUAUGGUAAAACUCCAUAAAAUUAAUUUCUCGCAUGAGAAAAUAGUCAAAUGUAAUCACAGCUUAACGAUGAGUCCACAUCUGAUUAGCUAGUUGGUGAGAUAAAAGCCCACCAAGGCGAUGAUCAGUAGCCGGCCUGAGAGGGUGAACGGCCACAUUGGGACUGAGAUACGGCCCAAACUCCUACGGGAGGCAGCAGUGGGGGAUAUUGCACAAUGGGGGGAACCCUGAUGCAGCAACGCCUUGUGAAGGACGAAGGUCUUAGGAUCGUAAACUUCUUUCAAUAGGGAAGAACAAAAUGACAGUACCUAUAGAAGAAGCCCCGGCUAACUACGUGCCAGCAGCCGCGGUAAUACGUAGGGGGCAAGCGUUAUCCGGAUUUAUUGGGUGUAAAGGGUGAGUAGGCGGCCUAAUAAGUUAGAUGUGAAAUACUUCAGCUCAACUGAUGAAUUGCAUUUAAUACUAUCUGGCUAGAGUUCAGGAGAGGUAGGCGGAAUUCCUAGUGUAGCGGUAAAAUGCGUAGAUAUUAGGAAGAACACCGGUGGCGAAGGCGGCCUACUGGACUGUUACUGACGCUGUAUCACGAAAGCAUGGGGAGCAAACAGGAUUAGAUACCCUGGUAGUCCAUGCCGUAAACGAUGAGUGCUAGGUGUCGGGAAGGUUCUUCUCGGUGCCGUAGUUAACACAUUAAGCACUCCACCUGGGGAGUACGUUCGCAAGAAUGAAACUCAAAGGAAUUGACGGGGGCCCGCACAAGCGGUGGAGCAUGUGGUUUAAUUCGAUGCAACACGAAAAACCUUACCAAGACUUGACUUUUCCAUGACAGGUAUAGAAAUAUUCCCUUUCCCUUCCGGAACAUGGAUAACAGGUGGUGCAUGGUUGUCGUCAGCUCGUGUCGUGAGAUGUUGGGUUAAGUCCCGCAACGAGCGCAACCCUUGUCUUUAGUUGCUAAUAGCUCUGCUAUGCACUCUAAAGAGACUGUCGUGGAUAACACGGAGGAAGGUGGGGAUGACGUCAAAUCAUCAUGCCCCUUAUGUCUUGGGCUACACACGUGCUACAAUGGCUAUUACAAUGUGAUGCUAUCCUGCAAAGGCUUGCCAACCACUUAAAAAUAGCCUCAGUUCAGAUUGAUGUCUGCAACUCGACUUCAUGAAGUCGGAAUCGCUAGUAAUCGUAAAUCAGCAAGUUACGGUGAAUACGUUCCCGGGC